rnacentral:rRNA from 1 species
CAGUCGCCGCGGUAAUACGAGGGGUGCAAGCGUUAUUCGGAUUGAUUGGGUGUAAAGGGUGUGCAGACGGCUUAUUAAGUCACUUGCUAAAUUCUUCGGCCUAACUGAAGGUCUGCAAGUGAUACUGAUGAGCUAGAGGGUGGAAGAGAGAAGUGGAAUUCUCGGAGUAGCGGUAAAAUGCGUAGAUCUCGAGAGGAACACCAAUGGCGAAGGCAGCUUCUUGGUCCAUUCCUGACGUUCAUACACGAAAGCGUGGGGAGCAAAUGGGAUUAGAUACCCCCGUAGUCCCUGUCUCUUAUAC